UGAUUUGGUUUCCUCAGUUUCCGUUUCAAUUUCACCGCGGUUUUAAUGUGUAUUUAAGUCUUCAGUCUCCACUGGACGAUCCUAUGGUCAGUUCUGACGAAUCAUCUUCGUUUUAUCGUCUCGAUUGCGGAGUUCCCAGAAGGAAAUUGAGUGGUUUCUCCGCACGGAGACAUUGCAUGUUAGUGCGAGCUUUUGACUGGGUAUAGAAAACGGGUAUGCGCUCUGCAGCACAGGUCUGUGUGAAUUCAAGACAAAAUCCAAAAACAGUUCUCAAAGUGAGAAAUGGAAUACUGUCAACAACUGAGCAUAAGCUCCCAGACGUUUGGUUUUCUAUACCAAAACUUGGCAAAACCAAAGAUUGAGUUAUCGUGACUGAGCUUCUAGUUCAGUUAAU